GGUGGCCUGUUAUUUUUAUAACCAAGUAACGGUAGCUUACUGGUAAUUCUUUUUAGAGCUCAACGUGUAUUUACGUUAGUCAUGAGUUCAGUUAUCGGUAGAAACUAAAUUAUCCCUACUUGAUUAUUUUAGAUUUGGGUUUUUCAAAUGGUGUAGUAUAGAAAUUUUUCGGGUUAGUCUAUUCACUAACACUAAGUGCGUUUUUCCUAGGGCCAACCGAAUAAGCGGAUAAGACAUAUUAAAAUAAAUAUAUAUACUUUUAGUCUAGUGGGUAUAUUAGACAUGCUUGAGAAUAUUGUGACCAUUUCAACAAUAUAUACUCAUAUUAUGUAUUUGGUCAAAUUACAGGAAACAGAUGUGAGGUUUGGUCAAAGCCCAUCAUACAUGUUUAAUGUUGGACCGGCUUGCACAAGUUACGCACAGAC
rnacentral:lncRNA from 1 species